rnacentral:rRNA from 1 species
UACGUAGGGUGCGAGCGUUAAUCGGAAUUACUGGGCGUAAAGCGUGCGCAGGCGGUUCGGAAAGAAAGAUGUGAAAUCCCAGGGCUUAACCUUGGAACUGCAUUUUUAACUGCCGAGCUAGAGUAUGUCAGAGGGGGGUAGAAUUCCACGUGUAGCAGUGAAAUGCGUAGAGAUGUGGAGGAAUACCGAUGGCGAAGGCAGCCCCCUGGGAUAAUACUGACGCUCAUGCACGAAAGCGUGGGGAGCAAACAGG